rnacentral:rRNA from 1 species
UACGUAGGGUGCAAGCGUUAAUCGGAAUUACUGGGCGUAAAGCGCGCGCAGGCGGUUAUGCAAGACAGAUGUGAAAUCCCCGGGCUCAACCUGGGAACUGCAUUUGUGACUGCAUAGCUGGAGUGCGGCAGAGGGGGAUGGAAUUCCGCGUGUAGCAGUGAAAUGCGUAGAUAUGCGGAGGAACACCGAUGGCGAAGGCAAUCCCCUGGGCCUGCACUGACGCUCAUGCACGAAAGCGUGGGGAGCAAACAGG